rnacentral:lncRNA from 1 species
CGGGGCCUGGCAGGGAUGGGCGGCCAGUGCCCCGCAUAUGUGCGGGUGACUGGAAGCCCACCCUGGGCGGGUUCACUCCCGACCGUCCUAUUUCCCAACCAAGUAGACUGAGGCUCAGUCACCAAGGACAAGUGGCAGAACAGAAACCCAAACCCAGGGAAGGAGAAACUCAGUUUAAAUCGGAGGUCAGGUUCUAGAACAUUGCCUGCCUUGCUGAAGUCGAAUCAGGAAGUGCCAGGCCGGCAUGAGCAGUCUGAAGUCCCCUGCCAUCAGGGCUGUGGUACAACCAGAUGCCUCAGACCUGAGCUCCCGGAAGGCAUGACUGACGUUCUUCCUGGAAGGUUUUCUGAAGGCAGUCACUGCAGAUGUCCUGGGACACACAAGUCUGGUCAAGCCCCAGAUCUCUUUUUCCUCUUCCACAUUUCACUUUGUUGAGCCCACUCAGAGCUCAGGGAACGGGGAGCCCACAAGACUGUGACCACAGAGCAGGAGCUGUUUCCCAGCAGAGGCCAGAAAGGAAAGCUGGAGUCCUGGCUUAGUCCCUUCAAACUGCUAUAGCAAAAUACCAUAAACUGAGUGGCUUAUAAACAAUAGAACGUGUUUCUCACAGUUCUGGAGACUGGGAGGUCCAAGAUCAAGGUGUCAAUAGAUUAGGUGUUUGGCGAGGGCCAGAGUUCUGGUUCCCGUGUCCUCACAGGGGAAAGGCAGCUCUCUGGGGCCUCUUUUCUGAGGGCACUAAUCCCAAUUUUGAGGGCUCUGCACUCAUGACCUA